AUUUGAACUCAUUUUCAUUUCAUCUUUUGUCAGAUUUCUUUACAACAACAACAACAACAACAACAACAACAACAACAACGACUCAGACAUCCACUCCUGAAGAGAAACCCAGUGCAGGAACAACAGCAACAACAACAACAGCAACAACAACAAUAACAACAACAAUAAAGAGUGAUAAAUACAACAUGACACGUUUCUUUCCUACACCAACACAGCCGUCCAUCACUACUGAGAAAUCCACUGCAUAUUCCUCUUCUGAAUCAACACAGCAGUCCGUCACUACACAGAAAUCCACUGCAGGAUCGCUGCCUACCGUACUGUCAGUCACCGGUGUGUGUGUUUUACUGGCUGGACUGAUGAGCUUCUGUCUCUGCGUGUGUAUCAGUAAGUCUUUAACUUCAUCUUUUAGCAAAAUCUUGAUGGUGUUGAUAAUUAUGACAUGACUGAACGUGUUUUUGUUACUUCGACAAGCAGAAGACUGAGAGGUUAGACAUUUAUUGUGUUCAGCUGAACUGCGUAUUAUUAAAUCCUGAUUUUAUCACAUCUAAGCAUCUAAUAGCCGUGUAUAUCUGUGUGGAUUAUCUUCAGCAGAUGUAAAUUGAACACGACCCACCGUGAUCAGGACCUUCCUUGCGAGACAAGAAUCUUCACCAUCUGAAUUAUGAGUGCCCGUCGUCAUUUUUCCUUCUCUCCUUUACUGGAGGGGCUGGAUUUGAAUCUGACCAUUCUUCCCUCUUCUCACCUGUCAGUCCACCCUACUCUCAGUGGUCUCCUUAUUUCACCUUUGCUGACUAUCCCAUGUCCCCAGGACACACCCUAUUUUCUUCCCCCUACCGCUCUCCUCAAGAUUAC
ensembl:lncRNA